UAGUUUUAAAUGACAUCAGUUUCAUUAAUUUGUUGAAAAUUGUCUCAUUUGUUGUUGUGAUGUUGCUUCUGAUUCAUUAAAAGCAGAUGAUCCUUGUUGAAGAUACGUUUAGUUCUAGUAUCAGAAGUACAAGAAGGAAAAUUGAAGUUUAGUUCUGCUACAUCAAAGAUUUCAGGAUUAAAAUAACUGAGUCUUAAUGCCUCAAACUUUAUUUUUACAAUAAAGAAAUAAUGAAAUAAUCACAGAUAAUAAAAACAUAAAUAGCAGAGAAAAUCUGAGAGAAUAAUUUCCUGAAAAGUCUGUGAAGGAAAAGCAGCUUUUUAUUCUGAAAGAUCAGAAUCAGCUCCAACAUCUGCAUCUGACAGCAUCAAGUCAACCAGAAAGAAAAGAAAAAAGAAAAUGACUUCUUUCUGAUUACAUCUGUUCCGCUGCUCACAGGCUGCUGCUGCUCACAUUGUUCACAUUUAUAGUCCACUUUUAAAAGUUCAGCAGACAGGUGCUCUGCUUUGGAGUGUGAUGAUGUCAUCGGUGAUGUGGAGAGUGAAGUUUCCGUUUCACCCACAGCGUGCUUUAGGGCAGCCAGAGUGAAAGUAGCAAUUCCUCCUUAAGGUCAGAGAUUGCAGCAUCUGAGGGCCUCUUCAAAAGAAGACGUAGUUGAUGAAGGCGUUCUGGAGCAGGACCAGAAAGACCACGACCAAGCAGCCUUGAGAUCUUAGGCAGCGUCUCCCUCGGGUCCCUCUCUAUCUCCCCACACAUCCACCAACCACUGGAACACAUCUCCAAAGUUCUGCCGGGCCAGCUCAGCUUCCCCUCAGAAGAAGUUCCGCCAGAUGAAGGAGCCUUUUGAGAGGCAGCUGGCAUCGUGAUUGGACUGUACUUUGGUCUGUUCCAAUCCAGCUUCAGCUCCAGAGACGGCAGGCGGGACGAGUCAACGGAGGCCGGGUGGACGAAGGCAUGCAGCUGAGUACAAUCCAGAAAACAACAGAGGAGGAUUGCAGGGGCUCAGGGCCAGAACAGAGUAGCAUCGUAUGUCUCUUAGCAAACAUCAUAGUAUAGCCUUUGGUAUGAAAAAACGCCAUCAUAUACAUCGUAUAUUGUACAAAUAACAAGUCAAAAAGAAAGAGACAUACAUUGUAGAAUUGUAGUAAUUGUGGGCUGACUGAUUUACUGAUUAUCAGUAUUUUUUUUUUUUUACUGAUUUACGGUAAUAAAUACAUAUAAAAAUGGCGCUACUUUGGCUCUGAACCUUUAUCUACCUGUGGUCGCUCUGUCUUCUGGAGUGAUUUGAUUGGUUAUACGUCACAAAUAAAACUUCUUUAACUUAA